CUAGUUUUGGUGUUAAUCUUAUCCAGAUUCCUGUCCUGCUGACUGUGCCACGGCUCUGCCAUUCGGUAUUCUCUGUGUGCAAUGUUUACUCUAUGCUGGGCUUUGGAGACAUUCUAGUACCAGGUCUGCUUGUUGGUUUCUGCCACACCUAUGACUUGAAAGUUAAAUCUCCAAGGAUAUAUUACAUCACAUCUGUUAUUGCAUAUGGUGUUGGACUGAUAAUCACCUUCGUCGCACUCACCCUCAUGCAGACAGGACAGCCUGCUCUCCUCUACUUGGUACCCUGCACCGUCCUGUCUACCCUGGCUGUAGCAGUGUGUCGUAAGGAGGUCUCCGAGCUAUGGAACGGUGGUCCGGUGAAUAACCAUCACAUAUUGUGAAUGACGGGGAAGGUCGGGAAGGAGAAAAAUGACUAGGACAGUAAGAGUGAGACAAGAGACAGAGUCACACCCACCAUCAUCAGCAACGCUACAGUCAACAGAUGGAGAGCAGGUGAAUGAAGCACUUUCAGAGGACACUCCAUCCCCACCUAAUCCUCAAAGCCAGGAUCAUGUAGAAAAGUGAAUUAUAUAGGGCGACAACAGCAGCGCAUCAAAAAUGCAUCUUGGCCUGCGUAGUAUGCCCGUAGGCUUAUGUACAAAUCUUUCUGUGCAAUAUCAUGCCUAUUGCACGAUAUAAUGAAUAAAAUAAUUACAUUGAAUGUUUUCUCCCCGGGAUAGUUUGAGUAUUUCAUUUGAUAGUGCCAGUAUUGCACUCACCUUUGAUUCAUGCAAAAUUGGCCGUAACUUGUGGAAUAUUUGUGAUAUUGCAUUUCUAGCCAUCGAAUAUGAUACAAUUAUUGUAUACCAUACAUAUGGAAAAGAAUGCUGAAUUUUCUGUUUUACAGUCAUUUGUGUUAAGAAGAGUUCGGAAAUUUGGAUCUUGAGAUAUUAACCAGUUUGCUAUUUUAACUGAAUGGUCACUAUUCAAAGCAUUUAGGAUUUAGAUGUGUCAGUAUUCAAUUGACUAAAUGUUAAUAGAAGACUGUCAAUCUGAAAUCACAUGAAGGUAAUGUAAAGGAAACAAAAGUUAAUGAAAAUAUCCGACUUUGAUUCUCCUGUUGGAGAUUAUAUUUAUCCAUGUCUAAUACCAUUUUAGAUUACUUUGCUUUUGUCUUAAUGUUGGAAGUUGGUACAUGUUUGUAUCUUGCAGGGCAUAGCUGUUUAUAUAGUUGUUCUCUGCAUGUAGAUCAUUUUAAAACUCUUAAAACUAUUUUUUUUAUUAAUUAGAACAGUAUGAUUUUAUGUAAAACACACAAGAUAAAAUAAGGUUUUAUUGUGAAGGUAUGGUAUAUAUUUUUUUAUAAUUUUUAGUCAAGAACACAAUUUUCAUGCCCAUGUUUUGAAUAAAAAAAAGUUUUUAAUUUAAUUCUCCUUAUAAUUCAAAUUAUAUAAUGUUCAUAAUUUCUAAUAAUCUUGUUAAAAUGUACACAUACAAUAAGGGAGCCCUGUCUAAAAGUUUAUUUACUGCUAGUUUGAUUGGUUUUCUAUAAGUGGGCAUUACACAAAAACAGAUUUGCAUGGUUUUAUAUCUGUGCACAAUAUAGAUGUUUUCUGCAGUCAUGUUUGGGUUGUUUGUCUUUUUUUUUCAUGAUAUAAAGAAUCGAUUUAUGGCUCAACUUCAAACUUGCUGCAAGUAUACUUGUUAAAGAGAUUAUGAUAUGUUUAGAUUUGGGAGUCAAGAUAUAAAAAGUCAAAGGUCAUUUAUCUGAAAAGAACUUCUCAUGAUGAACUAAGAACUAUUUGAAAGAUUGUGACUUCAAACUUGAUUCAAGAGUGUAAGUGAUGACUAUCUGUUUAGAUUCAUGAUCAUGAAUAUAAAUGUCAAAAAGUCACAGAUGACUAUUAGUAUCCCUAAAUAAGACCCCAAAAUAACCAAUCUGGAAUGAAAUUAUGGAAAUGGUUUCAGAUUUGAGUAGAUAUGGGUGUCAAAAUAUACCAGAAAAAAGUUAGGAGGAAUAUGGGGUAGGGAAAGUGUUUGUGUUUUUUCAAGGUCAAAUGUCAAUCACCUUUUCCUGUAAACUGUAUAAUGGUAUCUCUGAGAUGAGAAGGAGCAUGUUGGUGAUCAUGGUGUAAAAAUGCACAGAUUCUUACAAGAAGAUCAAGUAUGAUAAAAUUUAAGUACCUAGAAUGCACAUUUACCCAUAAAAUUCAAGGUCAAAGCCUUUCAAAUGUCAAUGACCCUUUUUUACAUUAUGUGCCAUACUGUAUUAUGGUAUUCAACCACCCCUGUUUCUAUGCAUUUAUUCAUAAUAUCAUUGCAUUGGUUUGGUAGAAACAUACAAUUUUAUGUGUAUAUGUUUUAUUUGUGUAUUGUAUAUAAUAUAUGUCAUGAUACAGUAUUUAUUUGUUUUAACAAAUUUGCAGAUAUAGAUUGAUAUGUAAAUAUUCAGUAUGUAAUUUGAACGUUAUGUACUCUUGAAUUCAUAUCAUUUGUUUAUUUUAUCUCAUGUUGAUUUUAGAUAAAUUCUAAAGGAUGUGAUAAUUUAUGUUGAUGAAUAGCAUAAUAAGAUUAUUACAGUCACUUUGACUGCAGAUUUAGAUAAUGGAUUAUUUUAUUGUCUAAGAUAACAUGAUUGCAUAACAUUGUGUACAAGACACACUCCUAAUGUCUCUAGCAAACUCACCACUACAAUGAACAUUAAAUAAGAUAACUUAAUUGGAUUAAAAUGAGGGGAGAAGAAAUUCACCAACUUAAAACAAAACCAUUGAUGAAGUAAUUUUGAGGGAAACACAUUGUUUUAUUAUAUUUGCACGUUUCUGUUCACUUCCUUGCAAAAUAAUAUGGCAUUAAAUUCUAGUUGCUUGUA